rnacentral:rRNA from 1 species
GACGAACGCUGGCGGCGUGCUUAACACAUGCAAGUCGAACGGUAAGGCCCUUCGGGGUACACGAGUGGCGAACGGGUGAGUAACACGUGGGUGAUCUGCCCUGCACUUUGGGAUAAGCCUGGGAAACUGGGUCUAAUACCGAAUACACCCUGCUGGUCGCAUGGCCUGGUGGGGGAAAGCUUUUGCGGUGUGGGAUGGGCCCGCGGCCUAUCAGCUUGUUGGUGGGGUGAUGGCCUACCAAGGCGACGACGGGUAGCCGGCCUGAGAGGGUGUCCGGCCACACUGGGACUGAUAUACGGCCCACACUCCUACGGGAGGCAGCAGUGGGGAAUAUUGCACAAUGGGCGCAAGCCUGAUGCAGCGACCCCGCGUGAGGGAUGACGGCCUUCGGGUUGUAAACCUCUUUCAAUAGGGACGAAGCGCAAGUGACGGUACCUAUAGAAGAAGCACCGGCCAACUACGUGCCAGCAGCCGCGGUAAUACGUAGGGUGCGAGCGUUGUCCGGAAUUACUGGGCGUAAAGAGCUCGUAGGUGGUUUGUCGCGUUGUUCGUGAAAACUCACAGCUUAACUGUGGGCGUGCGGGCGAUACGGGCAGACUGGAGUACUGCAGGGGAGACUGGAAUUCCUGGUGUAGCGGUGGAAUGCGCAGAUAUCAGGAGGAACACCGGUGGCGAAGGCGGGUCUCUGGGCAGUAACUGACGCUGAGGAGCGAAAGCGUGGGGAGCGAACAGGAUUAGAUACCCUGGUAGUCCACGCCGUAAACGGUGGGUACUAGGUGUGGGUUUCCUUCCUUGGGAUCCGUGCCGUAGCUAACGCAUUAAGUACCCCGCCUGGGGAGUACGGCCGCAAGGCUAAAACUCAAAGAAAUUGACGGGGGCCCGCACAAGCGGCGGAGCAUGUGGAUUAAUUCGAUGCAACGCGAAGAACCUUACCUGGGUUUGACAUGCACAGGACGCCGGCAGAGAUGUCGGUUCCCUUGUGGCCUGUGUGCAGGUGGUGCAUGGCUGUCGUCAGCUCGUGUCGUGAGAUGUUGGGUUAAGUCCCGCAACGAGCGCAACCCUUGUCUCAUGUUGCCAGCACGUUAUGGUGGGGACUCGUGAGAGACUGCCGGGGUCAACUCGGAGGAAGGUGGGGAUGACGUCAAGUCAUCAUGCCCCUUAUGUCCAGGGCUUCACACAUGCUACAAUGGCCGGUACAAAGGGCUGCGAUGCCGUGAGGUGGAGCGAAUCCUUUCAAAGCCGGUCUCAGUUCGGAUCGGGGUCUGCAACUCGACCCCGUGAAGUCGGAGUCGCUAGUAAUCGCAGAUCAGCAACGCUGCGGUGAAUACGUUCCCGGGCCU